rnacentral:rRNA from 1 species
GACGAACGCUGGCGGCGUGCCUAAUACAUGCAAGUUGAGCGCUGAAGGUUGGUACUUGUACCAACUGGAUGAGCAGCGAACGGGUGAGUAACGCGUGGGGAAUCUGCCUUUGAGCGGGGGACAACAUUUGGAAACGAAUGCUAAUACCGCAUAAAAACUUUAAACACAAGUUUUAAGUUUGAAAGAUGCAAUUGCAUCACUCAAAGAUGAUCCCGCGUUGUGUUAGCUAGUUGGUGAGGUAAAGGCUCACCAAGGCGAUGAUACAUAGCCGACCUGAGAGGGUGAUCGGCCACAUUGGGACUGAGACACGGCCCAAACUCCUACGGGAGGCAGCAGUAGGGAAUCUUCGGCAAUGGACGAAAGUCUGACCGAGCAACGCCGCGUGAGUGAAGAAGGUUUUCGGAUCGUAAAACUCUGUUGGUAGAGAAGAACGUUGGUGAGAGCGGAAAGCUCAUCAAGUGACGGUAACUACCCAGAAAGGGACGGCUAACUACGUG